GGAGUUGAUGAGGAAGCUGCCAGCAGAGCAAGCUGCACUCUCCCCUUGCAAGAUGCCAACAAAUUAAGCAGAACCUAAGGAUCGGGUGGAGAACGACUGAAAACCGUGGAUGGAAGUGAACGGAAGACCUGUACCUGAAGGCCAGUACUCCGACACCUGAUCCUAGGCUGCUGAUUGACGGCACCUGAUACCAGAAUACGAUCGACGACGAGAGUGAGAAACAACUUUUUAUUACCAGCACGUGGUUGAAAAAUGGGUUGGAGUCCCUGGGCAGUAAUCCCUAGAACUAAGCGGGUUGGAGUCCCUGGGCAGUAGUCCCUAGAUGCCAAAGGCCUAAAAAAGAGUGAAUGUGAAUGUGUGUGAUUGAGAAGGAAUUGUGAUCGAAUCUGCGGGCAGUCUGAAGCCUAACGGUGUAAAAACCAAAAAAACCAAAAAACCAAAAAAAACAACUAUUAAGAUUUUUUUUUUGAGGUUUUUUGCGCAGCGUAAAAUAAAAAAUUAAAAAAU